rnacentral:rRNA from 1 species
GACGAACGCUGGCGGCGUGCUUAACACAUGCAAGUCGAACGGUAAGGCCCUUCGGGGUACACGAGUGGCGAACGGGUGAGUAACACGUGGGUGAUCUGCCCUGCACUUCGGGAUAAGCCUGGGAAACUGGGUCUAAUAACGGAUAGGACCACUGCCUACAUGGGUGGUGGGGGAAAGCUUUUGCGGUGUGGGAUGGGCCCGCGGCCUAUCAGCUUGUUGGUGGGGGGAGGGCCUACCAAGGCGACGACGGGUAGCCGGCCUGAGAGGGUGACCGGCCACACUGGGACUGAGAUACGGCCCAGACUCCUACGGGAGGCAGCAGUGGGGAAUAUUGCACAAUGGGCGCAAGCCUGAUGCAGCGACGCCGCGUGAGGGAUGACGGCCUUCGGGUUGUAAACCUCUUUCAGCACCGACGAAGCGCAAGUGACGGUAGGUGCAGAAGAAGGACCGGCCAACUACGUGCCAGCAGCCGCAGUAA